GUCUUUUUGAAUUUUUUUUAAAGUCUAACCUGCCCACUGAAUUUUUUUUAAAUGGCCGCAGUAUACUAACUGUGCAAAGGUAGCAUAAUCAUUAGUCUUUUAAUUGAAGGCUGGUAUGAAUGGUUGGACGAGAUAUUAACUGUUUCAUAAAAAUUUAUAUUAGAAUUUUAUUUUUUAGUCAAAAAGCUAAAAUUUAUUUAAAAGACGAGAAGACCCUAUAAAUCUUUAUAUUUAGUUUAUUAUAAUUUUAUAGAUUAUUUUUGUUAUAAUAAUCAAUAAUAUUUUAUUGGGGUGAUAUUAAAAUUUAAUAAACUUUUAAUUGUUUAAAUCAUUAAUUUAUGAAUAAUUGAUCCGUUAUUAACGAUUAAAAAAAUAAGUUACUUUAGGGAUAACAGCGUAAUUUUUUUGGAGAGUUCAUAUCGAUAAAAAAGAUUGCGACCUCGAUGUUGGAUUAAGAUAUAAUUUUAGGUGUAGCCGCUUAAAUUUUAAGUCUGUUCGACUUUUAAAUUCUU
rnacentral:rRNA from 1 species